AGUGAACGCUGGCGGUAGGCCUAACACAUGCAAGUCGAACGGCAGCACAGUAAGAGCUUGCUCUUACGGGUGGCGAGUGGCGGACGGGUGAGGAAUACAUCGGAAUCUACUUUUUCGGGGGGGAUAACGUAGGGAAACUUACGCUAAUACCGCAUACGACCUACGGGUGAAAGCAGGGGAUCUUCGGACCUUGCGCGAUUGAAUUAGCCGAUGUCGGAUUAGCUAGUUGGCGGGGUAAAGGCCCACCAAGGCGACGAUCCGUAGCUGGUCUGAGAGGAUGAUCAGCCACACUGGAACUGAGACACGGUCCAGACUCCUACGGGAGGCAGCAGUGGGGAAUAUUGGACAAUGGGCGCAAGCCUGAUCCAGCCAUACCGCGUGGGUGAAGAAGGCCUUCGGGUUGUAAAGCCCUUUUGUUGGGAAAGAAAAGCAGCAGGUUAAUACCCCGCUGUUCUGACGGUACCCAAAGAAUAAGCACCGGCUAACUUCGUG
rnacentral:rRNA from 1 species